GACGAACGCUGGCGGCGUGCUUAACACAUGCAAGUCGAACGGAAAGGCCUCUUUCGGGGGGUACUCGAGUGGCGAACGGGUGAGUAACACGUGAGUAACCUGCCCUUUACUUUGGGAUAACUUCAGGAAACUGGGGCUAAUACCGGAUAGGAGCUCCUGCUGCAUGGUGGGGGUUGGAAAGUUUCGGCGGUUGGGGAUGGACUCGCGGCUUAUCAGCUUGUUGGUGGGGUAGUGGCUUACCAAGGCUUUGACGGGUAGCCGGCCUGAGAGGGUGACCGGCCACAUUGGGACUGAGAUACGGCCCAGACUCCUACGGGAGGCAGGAGUGGGGAAUAUUGCACAAUGGGUGGAAGCCUGAUGCAGCAACGCCGUGUGCGGGAUGACGGCCUUCGGGUUGGAAACCGCUUUCGCUCAUGACGAAGCUUUGUGUGACGGUAGUGGGUAAAGAAGCACCGGCUAACUACGUG
rnacentral:rRNA from 1 species